CGGGUGAGUAACGCGUGAGGAACCUGCCUCAAAGAGGGGGACAACAGUUGGAAACGACUGCUAAUACCGCAUAAGCCCACGGCUCGGCAUCGAGCAGAGGGAAAAGGAGCAAUCCGCUUUGAGAUGGCCUCGCGUCCGAUUAGCUAGUUGGCGGGGUAACGGCCCACCUAGGCGACGAUCAGUAGCCGGACUGAGAGGUUGACCGGCCACAUUGGGACUGAGACACGGCCCAG
rnacentral:rRNA from 1 species